AGUUGGUGAGACAGUAUGUUUUGAGUAUAAGGACAGCCAGUGAUUUAAGUGGUGGUUAAAUGCACUUACUGGAGCAACAGUUUCGGAUCUGGGUACUUAAUGUGAAUUUCCUGUUACUGUUUUUUUUUGUUUGUUUGUUUCUUUAAGACAGACUAUUGCUCUCUUCCCCAGGCUGGAGUGUCAUGGCAAGAUCUCGGCUCAAUGUAACCUCUGCUUCCAAGGUUCAAGCAAUUCUCAUGCCUCAGCCUCCCGAGGAGCUGGGACUACAGGCACAUGUCACCAUGCCCAGCUAAUUUUUGUAUUUUUAGUGUCGGCGGGGUUUUGCUAUGUUGGCCAGGCUGGUCUCGAACUCCUGGCCUCAAGUGAUCUGUCUGCCUCAGCCUCUCAAAGUGUUGGGAUUACAGGUGUGAGCCACCACGCCCGGCCCAUUGUUUUUGGUUAUCGUUGUUUUCCUUCCAUAGCCUUUGAAAAGCCUAGUUUUACUCCUAAAGAAAACGUAGUAUCUCUUAGUAUCCCUAAAACAUUUGAGUUUUCUUAUCCUGGAGAACCUGUCCCUGUGGAUGAGCUCCAGUAACAUCUUAAAGUAAAUAUGCACCAAAAUUACUUUUGGUAAAUACAGUUUUGGUGCAUAUUUACUUUAGGAUGUUACUGGAGCUCCCAUCUUCUCUGCUUUAAGGAACUAGUCCUUAACUAGUUAGCCCUUACUUAACUCUUUAAACUCUGGUUUAAAAAAUAAAAAGAAGCUUGAAUAGUGUGACGGAACUCUUUAAAGGUAGUAUGAAUUUAUUCAAGAGUCUUUAGAAAGAAUGUACUUUUUUUACUCUUUAAAAACAAAAUGAUGGCCGGGCACGGUGGCUCACGCCUGUAAUCCCAGCACUUUGGGAGGCCGAGGCAGGUGGAUCACAAGAUCAGGAGAUCGAGACCAUCGUGGCUAACACAGUGAAACCCUGUCUCUACUAAAAACAUACAAAAUAGCCGAAUGUGGUGGUGGGCACCUGUAGUCCCAGCUACUCGGGAGGCUGGAGUGCAAUGGCGCCAUCUCGGCUCACCACGACUUUUGCCUCCCAGGUUCAAGCGAUUCUCCUGCCUCAGCUUCCCUGGUAGCUGGGAUUACAGGCAAUGUGUCACCACGCCUGGCUAAUUUUGUAUUUUUAGUAGAGAUGGGGUUUCUCCAUGUUGGUCAGGCUGGUCUUGAACUCCGGACCUCAGGUGAUCCGCCCACCUCAGCCUCCCAAAGUGCUGGGAUUACAGGCAUGAGCCACUGCACCCGGCCUUACCUUUCAUUUCUUUAGUAAUUUAGUUUUAAAGUAGUUCUAAUCCAAAUAAAAUACUUUCAUAUCUUAUUUAAAAAUCUUUUCAAUAUAAGAAAAUCCUCUUAGG
rnacentral:lncRNA from 1 species